GAAAAUAUAAUGAGACUAAUUUUAAAUUAUCAAUUAAACUACCUAAACUAAGAUUUCUUCCUAUUGUAUUCGACUAUGCAAAUGAUAAAAACGAUGGUUGAUUGAUUAGUCGAUUACUAACUAAGCCAAUAACCUAUCCCAAUUAGAUCACUUGUGACUCCUCACUAGAAUCUCCUUUCAGUCUCAUCCUAAUUUGAAAUUACAACCUAAGUUUUUCUCUCAAUCUCACUUUGACAAGUUGUUC
rnacentral:lncRNA from 1 species